AUUGAACGCUGUUGGCAGGCUUAACACAUGCAAGUCGAACGAUGAUUGUCUAGCUUGCUAGAGAAGAUUAGUGGCGGACGGGUGAGUAACAUUUAGGAAUCUGCCUAGUAGUGGGGGAUAGCUCGGGGAAACUCGAAUUAAUACCGCAUACGACCUACGGGUGAAAGGGGGCGCAAGCUCUUGCUAUUAGAUGAGCCUAAAUCAGAUUAGCUAGUUGGUGGGGUAAAGGCCCACCAAGGCGACGAUCUGUAACUGGUCUGAGAGGAUGAUCAGUCACACCGGAACUGAGACACGGUCCGGACUCCUACGGGAGGCAGCAGUGGGGAAUAUUGGACAAUGGGGGCAACCCUGAUCCAGCCAUGCCGCGUGUGUGAAGAAGGCCUUUUGGUUGUAAAGCACUUUAAGCAGGGAGGAGAGGCUAAUGGUUAAUACCCAUUAGAUUAGACGUUACCUGCAGAAUAAGCACCGGCUAACUCUGUGCCAGCAGCCGCGGUAAUACAGAGGGUGCGAGCGUUAAUCGGAAUUACUGGGCGUAAAGCGAGUGUAGGUGGCUCAUUAAGUCACAUGUGAAAUCCCCGGGCUUAACCUGGGAACUGCAUGUGAUACUGGUGGUGCUAGAAUAUGUGAGAGGGAAGUAGAAUUCCAGGUGUAGCGGUGAAAUGCGUAGAGAUCUGGAGGAAUACCGAUGGCGAAGGCAGCUUCCUGGCAUAAUAUUGACACUGAGAUUCGAAAGCGUGGGUAGCAAACAGGAUUAGAUACCCUGGUAGUCCACGCCGUAAACGAUGUCUACUAGCCGUUGGGGUCCUUGAGACUUUAGUGGCGCAGUUAACGCGAUAAGUAGACCGCCUGGGGAGUACGGCCGCAAGGUUAAAACUCAAAUGAAUUGACGGGGGCCCGCACAAGCGGUGGAGCAUGUGGUUUAAUUCGAUGCAACGCGAAGAACCUUACCUGGUCUUGACAUAGUGAGAAUCCUGCAGAGAUGCGGGAGUGCCUUCGGGAAUUCACAUACAGGUGCUGCAUGGCUGUCGUCAGCUCGUGUCGUGAGAUGUUGGGUUAAGUCCCGCAACGAGCGCAACCCUUUUCCUUAUUUGCCAGCGGGUUAAGCCGGGAACUUUAAGGAUACUGCCAGUGACAAACUGGAGGAAGGCGGGGACGACGUCAAGUCAUCAUGGCCCUUACGACCAGGGCUACACACGUGCUACAAUGGUAGGUACAGAGGGUUGCUACACAGCGAUGUGAUGCUAAUCUCAAAAAGCCUAUCGUAGUCCGGAUUGGAGUCUGCAACUCGACUCCAUGAAGUCGGAAUCGCUAGUAAUCGCAGAUCAGAAUGCUGCGGUGAAUACGUUCCCGGGCCU
rnacentral:rRNA from 1 species